UCUCCUUAACUAGUAAGACUAUAAAUAACAAUGAUUCAAAGGGAAGUGAAACUCAGUACAGUAGGUAGGCAUUGAAUUUGGAAGAGAUGAUGACUGGACACAUCCUCCUGCUAUACUGGUACAUAAUUAUGUGGUUACAGAAAUUGUUGCCCUGAAUCCAGGAAGAGAGAAGUGAAAUGAUGAAUGCUAAGACUUUCCUGACAAGCAACCAAACCAAGUCAUCGUCAUCCCUAGGCUGGGAAGGAGAUAGAUGCUUUGAACUGUGGAAGAGGACAUGAUGAAAAAAAGCAGGGAUAACAUAUGAAGUUGGCCAUACAAACAGAAAUGGAAACAAGAUGUUAUUUAUACACAUUUUAUCUCUGCCAAGUAAAAAGAUUUCUUAAGUGAAUAUUUGAAGG